rnacentral:lncRNA from 1 species
GUUAACCACCGAUAGUAAAAGGAUUAAAAUUUAUCCUUUUGUCUAAUAAAAGGCUAAAUUGGAAACGUCUAAUAUCACAGGGCCAAAAUCGGAAUAAGACAAUAACACGGAUAAGAAAUGCUAUUUUCCCAUUUCUAAAGCACUGCGAUAGCAAUUGUCGAGGCAUGAAGGCUUCGAACCUUGCGUCCACAUCCAUAGCUCUAGGCUCUUCUAAAUACUUAUUAGUCACGAAGAUUAGUUUUAUGAGGCAUUUAAUUCAACAUUAUCGGUAUUUGCAUUAGAGUUCGAUUAAAUUUAAAUUCGCGCCAGAAUAUUCUACAAUGGUGUAAAAUGCUCCGUUACAAAGGUGAUUUUAUGACUUAAACCACUGAUUAAGGUUGAAGAAAUACAUAUCACUUCAUUGAAGUGGACAUGAAGAUUUUGAACCUUGCGUCAUAGAUAUAAUCCCUUAUAAAUGCUUAGCUAUGUUCACACGGCUAGUUAUCAAGAUUCUCGUUGGCUACCCCAAAACUUCUAAAAAGUAGUCAUAGUUAAAGCCCUAUUGUAAAGAAUAGCAGAAGAAGGGUAUUAUUCGGAGACCUUCUGCUAGCCCAAGUGUUAGAUAAUAUUGGAGGACUCAACUAAAGAAGAAGAAGAAGCUUGAAAGAGAGAAAAAUGUUUUGGAAAGGAGAACUUUGUUUAGGAAAUAA